GCAGGUGGGCUUUUCUCUCCAGAGCACCAACUGAAACAGACAGAAUGAACAGAGCACGAGGACUGUGUUUCACUUUACUACUACUGGGGUGUGUACAUGGGAGCAAGUCUUCUCAAAGAGAAGUGGUAUUCAGUAGAGGGAUCCAACUCUUUAUUGAAGGUUUGAGCCCUUCUAAUCCCUCUGUAGUAAUCCUCUCCUCAUUUGGGGACAAACCUGGUGCCUCACCUACACUGGUGUGUAUACUCAGUGGUUUAAAAACACACCAUUUGUUGGACAUCAUUUGGUGGAUCAAUGACACAGUGGUAACCCCUGAGAACAAUGCCAUUUUGAGAUCCAGGGGAAGUGAUGGCACGUACACAACUACCGGACUGUGGACUAUGUCUGGAAAGGACUGGAAUAUCUAUAGUAACUAUGAGUGUGGAACCAGACAUGAAGGAAAGCAUUAUAGAAAUGGUACACAGCCCUCGCUUUGCAUGGAUUUUACUUGAUUACAAAUAUUUGUUAACCUAUCAAAAAUUAUCCUUAGCAUUUCAUGUACAAUCUUUACUAUUAUUAAAGUAUUCAUGAUGUUUCUUGAGUAUUUUAGUGAAAAAGCAGGUUGCAAGUUCAAAUCCCUGAGCUGACAUGGUACAAAUCUGUUGUUCUGCCAUUGAACAGGCAGUUUACCCACCGUUCCUAGGCUGUCACUGAAAAUAAGAAUUUGUUCUUAACUGACUUGCUUAGUUAAAGAAAAAAAUACAAAAAAAUAAAUAAAGAUUAUAUUUCUGGUUGCCAUUACCAUAUGUUGACAAUAGAGGGAGCUCACUGCCUGCAGUUGAAGGGGUUGUAGUGUUUGUGUUGAGUGGUGGUAAGUUCAUAUGCGUGGCAUCUGUUUCACAAACUCACUGAUUUCAACUGAGACAAUGCUGCUCUUGUUCCUGGAUGUAUCUCUCAACAACAAGCUGUUAUACAAAUGGUCAUAUGCACAAAGCUGAAUACUCUAGUUUAUGUUCCAAACAACAAUUGUGUUUCUGUCAGCCCUCUAAAAAUAUUUUUACAUAAUUUAUAACUUCAUAAUAUCAUCAAUAAAAUAUAAAAAUAAUUAACUGCACUGCACUUUCACAUACAAACUCACAACCACUUCUUUAUUUUGUCCUGGUCAUGCAUGCGUUUGCUUAUAUUCUUGGGGCCACUGGUUGCUGUCUGAUUCCUGUGAAGAAUUAACCAUAACAACCCAAUUGCCAUUAUCAGCCAAUGAAAUUGCUGUUGGAGCUCAGCUAACUGCUUGCUGUGUGAGUAAAUUCAGCAGAUUUGGGACACUUGUUGAAGAAACCUUGGAGAUAUGAGGAAUUUCUGAAUGGGAGAUGGGAUGGGAAAACGUUUACGUCCUGAGUGUGUGUCUGUGAGCUGUUUCCAAUUUGAAAGGCAACGUGCUUUGGGAGUACACCCAGAAAAAAGUUUUAUCUAG